AGUGUAGGUUUUUCUUUGAAUAAAUGAAAUUGUUUCUUACAUCGUUAACUCACCUUCUUUCCGGAAUUUGACACUGGGGGAGAAUUCAUUUCUCAUAUUAUGUUUUACAAGUUAUAAUUGAAUACUUAUAUGUUCACACUUGCACCAUAUAUCUAUGACUCUUAUCUUCUUCUUAUGGCUUCAGAAAUGCAUAUUCAUGCUUUUCUUUCCUUAACUUGAGAUGCACAUCCUAUCACAGGGAACUACUUCCCAACUCUUUUCUUCAAUAACACAGUAACUGAGAACUACUUCCCAACUCUUUUCUUCAAUAACACAGUAACUGAGCUAGUGCUUAAUCUGGAAGUUGCUCCUAGAAGCAUGGUUGACCAACAAAGGAUGAUGGAUUUGGUUUGCAGCAUUGUUAAUCAUCUAGUUAUUAUUAAGAAAACUCUGCAUGCAUGUUGUUUUUGCUGCAGGCUUAUUAUCGAUGUGCCUUUAAUUGGUCAUCGCCUUUCUGUCUUCCGUGAUGACCUUAAUAUCUUUCUCAUAUAUCUAUACCACAAGUAGUGGAUGUGGAGAAGAGGAUCAUCAACCCGUGGAGCAACAAGAGAAGAAAAUUAACUGACCUACUUUAAUUUCUUUUUUUUUCUUAAUGCUAUCUCCCUCCCCCAGGACAGAAUUUUCUUUUUCUCUCUUUUUAAUUUGCUCGGAACUGAAGUGCGAGAGAAUGAAUAGUAUUUCAAAGAUUAGCUGAAAUCGAUGUGAUUUGGAUCUAAA